UCCCUCUGGUAGGUUACGUGUUUUAUAUUAGGUAUUUGUUUUUUAUUAUUCAACUAAAAAUGACAAACAAGUUGACAGCUAACCCGAUGGAAAGUGUCAACUGUCGUCUAUAUCACAAAUAGUAUAAUAUUACACUAGUACCUAUUUUUAGUAAUGCUAAUGGGAUGAUAAUGGAAUGAUAACCCCGUCUACGCUAUUGAUAACGCUGGCGGGUCACCAGUGAGAAUAAAUGUAGUUACAGAUGUUGCAGCAUGAUUAUGUCAUCGCAAGUAACGGCAGCAGGUGUGCGAAGUGUGGGCUGGGGCGCUACUCGGACGUGCCCAACGUACUCGAGUCAAGCGGUGGACCAAUGGAGUGUGCGAAUUUGAUCCAUCCUGUACGAAACCAGGGCGAACAAGUCACGCGGUGCGGCGAGGCGCGCCUAUUAUUUAUCACGUAGCGCUGUGCGCAAGCUUGUCUGCGCACCGUCUCGGUGUAGUUCUACCACGAGUAUACCGCAGUUUGCUUAACUAAUAGUACUACAUAAAUACGAUAAUUUAAGAAUUUGUUGAAUAAAUACAAAAUUAUAAUUUAAUAAGUGCCACACAAUCACCUCGGCAACGAACGUUAGGGGGCACAACUCAAAACACCACAAUUAGAUCACACUAUUAAACUCUUUCAAAACAAAUCAAUAAAAUCUAUUUCAAACUGAUGAACUUAAUACACAAUAUAAAUAAAUUAUUAUGCACAUAUAUAUAAUUAAAUAAUUUGCUCCGUAAAUAAACUACCCCAUGAAUCCUAUAUAAAUAAAUAUACACAUAAUUUGAUCAUGUAUCGCACUUUCCCUCUCAGCUUAAAUGGUUUCCCAUUUGCCGACGAAGAAAUUUGCAGUCUGUCUUUAUUAUACGAUGUCCUUUUUAAUCCAAGUGCUUCUUUGUAUCUUAGAAGUUGUUAAAAUUUUUCUCUUCUACUAAUACUUUAACACUACGCACUUCCGAAAACCUUUCCCUUAUGACUCUUUCUCAUUUUAACUAUAUUUUAUCACAAUUUCUUCACCGUUUCUAGCGUUAAGUUAUGGAAUUCAUUACCUGUUGC